rnacentral:rRNA from 1 species
GAGAAGCAAGACCGUGAGGUGGAGCAAAACUCAAAAACUUAGUCUCAGUUCGGAUUGUAGGCUGAAACUCGCCUACAUGAAGCUGGAGUUGCUAGUAAUCGCGAAUCAGCAUGUCGCGGUGAAUACGUUCCCGGGCCUUGUACACACCGCCCGUCACACCAUGAGAGUUGGCAAUACCCAACGUACGUGAUCUAACCCGCAAGGGAGGAAGCGUCCUAAGGUAGGGUCAACGAUUGGGGUGAAGUCGUAACAAGGUAGC